rnacentral:misc_RNA from 1 species
GAUGAAGAACGUAGCGAAAUGCGAUACGUAAUGUGAAUUGCAGAAUUCAGUGAAUCAUCGAGUCUUUGAACGCACCUUGCGCUCCUUGGCAUUCCGAGGAGCAUGCCUGUUUGAGUGUCAUUAAAUUCUCAAGACCUGUCUGCUUUUUUGAUAGGUAUUGGAUUUUGGGGGUUGCAGGCUGUUUCAAAUAAAUAGCCUUGCUCUCCUUGAAUGUAUUAGUGGAGAAAAGCCAUUGAACUCCAUUGGUGUGAUAAAACCUAUCAAUGCCAGGAGCAAUAUCACUACUUCUCUCUGCUGUCUAACUGUGACUGUCUGUAUUAAUUAGUAUGGAUGGGGACAACUUGACCAACUUGACCUCAAAUCAGGUAGGACUACCCGCUGAACUUAAGCAUAUCAAUAAGCGGAGGA